rnacentral:tRNA from 1 species
UACUCUUUUAGUAUUAACUAGUACAUCUGACUUCCAAUCAGUUAGUUUUGGUAUCAAAUCCAAGAAAGAGUAA